GCCCUACAGGGCUCUGCUCAGCUACAAUGGUAUGCCAGUCCCACUGGGGAGAACUGGGGGCCUCACUGUGUGUCCAGAAAUGGCAAGACCCUCAAGACUCAUCCUCUCCGUGAGCACAAUUUACAAAAGAGGCACCGUACAGUUGGGGGGCCAGCCCAAGGUCAUACAAUUCCUGAAGGCUUCCAUCUGUCAACUGGGGGGCUCCUCUAUCAGGAAGAGACCAAAGCAGGGACCAACAAACUAGACCUUGCCCGCUCAGCUUCCUGUUCUGCAAAGAUGCUUCUAUUAGAACACAGCAUGUUCACUCCUAAGGUAGCCAUGUUUAUUCCACAAUGGCAUAUUUGAGUAGCCGCAACAGAAAACAGACUAUCCACAAGCUGAUGGGAUCUCUUGACUGAAAAGUUACCCCCAGACACAAUGGCCAUGUUUGGGAGUAGAACUCCCAGGGAAGGUGCGUUGGAUCUGGGAUCCCAUCCACUCUACCCACCACCUCCCCCACCUCCAUCCAAAGCUCCUGUUACAAUGGCUUGAAAGCAUGACUUCCUUCUGCCGAGCCUGAAGGUGCAUGGGGUUAGCAGCAGGCAGUAGGUCCUACACACACUUCCAAGAGACAGAAUGGCCAGGAGCCAGGGGACAAAGAUGAGGAAAGCUGUCAUUCCAAGACUGUGACCCACUCCCCCAGGCCAAGGCUCCCGCUGAAGUUUCCCCUCCCCCAUGGAGCAGCUGUGGCAGAAGCCCUCAGGAGAAGUCCCUGAACUGUGGUCACUACAUCCAAGGGUCUUGGACUCAGACCUACAUGGCUGCAUACAACUGAAUUGCCUCCCCCAGUACCUGCUGGGGACCCCAAUCUGACUGAACACAGGUCCUCUACUCUCAGAUGACUCUGGGACACCUGAGUCCCCCAUUGCUGAAGAAGCUGUCUUCACUUUCCUGCAAGAUCCAGCCACUCCCCCAAUAUAGGAACGCAAAACCGGAGCAGGCUAACACCCAGCAUAGAAGAAAACAGGGCAGGUCAUGUUCAAAGAACUGAGAAAGAACUACCGCCUCUAGCCUCAUAGCAACGAGCGAGCUUCACUAGACAUAGGGGGGCCGAGUUCAGAGACCGGGAGAGCAGGGACACCCAUGUGGGUGAGAUAGAGCAGGAAGCUGCAUAUUAAGUUUAGGUGGUUCGUUUGACAACCACAGUCUGGGAGUUACAAGGCUCUGCCACAACUCACCCUCUCAGUCUAGGAUCUCGUCACCAAGUUUUCAAGGGUCUCCCAUGAAACUCCCAUAAACUGAUAACUGGAAGGGUGAGGUUCCAGGUUUCUGGCCACAGAGAGUGGCAGGGUUCCGAAAUCUGGAGGGAGCUGGGGGCUUGUCUCAAGGGGCAGCUGCUAGGGGACCCAGCACAAGGGAACUGGGGGGCUUGUCUAGAGGGGCAGCUUGCUAGGGAACCCAGCACACUUUUUGAUGACACUCAUACCUGGGUCUAGUUGCCAGGCUUUCAAAAUUUUACCCCAAAAGACCAAAAAUAAGAAAAUUUCCUAGAAAGAUGAAUUAAUUAACAACU
ensembl:antisense